GAGCUUCUGAUGAGACCAUGGAAAGAUCUUAGCAAAGCAGUGAAUAUAUUUCAGGCUU
rnacentral:sRNA from 1 species